AUGAGAACAGAGGCAGGUGCUGAAUUGAAGAAAUUAUUAAACCCUUUAACCAAAAGCUCACAGGGAAGCAAAGAUCAUUCCAGAGUGGCCUGGUUCCUCUGCAUCUCUGUCCUCACCAGCAUUCUGAAGCUGGAUAUCAAGUUACAAACAUUACAUCAUUUGCAAAAGCCUCCACCGACUGAAAGCCACGUUAAUACUGAAGACCACGACGUUGAUUCAUGAGGAGUUUAGCCUCUUCACAGGAACUCUGUUUGCAGUAUCAGAUCUAUGCAUUUUUACUGGUGUUGAGGCAAAUCUCAGAGGAGUUGUAGUUUCUGUUUGAGUAAUCCCCAAAGAUAAAACUUCUUAUUGGAAAUGGGUUUGAACUUCUGCAGAGCUUCACUCUUCUUCUAGCAGCUAUCAUCACCACAUCUAUUUUAUUUCUCCAAUCAUGCUGCUCUCUCAUCCUAGAUUUGUCUAAGAUUUAUCUGUCAGCUUUAUCUGCCUCUAAAUUCAUUUCAGAUCUCUAGCCGAUUCUCUCAGGCAUUCAUGAUAAAUAUUAUUCUCUGUGUUCUUCAUGCUCCUUUUUCCUCCCACUUUGCUUUAUAUGUCUCACUUUAAAGUCUGUUCUACUGACCUGCCUGAAAUCCUAUAUUUUGAUAGAAUUGGAGUACAAACUUCCUCAGCAAUGGUCACUAAAGCACUGGAUAGGCAGUUGGGAGAAUAUUUAUCUUGUAUUAAUUGUACAAAUAUUCAGCUUGGUCUAAGACCCUCUCUAGUAUUUUGAACUAUCUAGUCCAUGCUGCAUGUGUUCAGAGGGUUAGAGAUACUGGCGUAAUCAAUCCCACUGUGAAUAUUUGCACUGUCCAGUACUUGCAAUCUAUUCAGGGUAAACAGUUGUCUGCAAAUCCCCACUGCAGUAAGGUUUCACGAGAUAAGCUAAUAGCAUGUCCCCAGUGCUGGGGAAACCUUGGCAUAGAGAAAGCUUGAAAAAAUAUAUAAUAAUAAUAAUAAGGAAAAGGCUUUGAGAUUGAAGGGGAGGAAAAAGGAGAAAAGCACAUUUGGAAUUUGACUGUCAUACUGCGUAACAGGAGCUGAACAGAUACAGUGUUUUCUGAAACCAUUCAAGUGAUAAAAAGAGUGUUUGGAGACAACAGUAUGUACAGCUUUCAGCUAAUGGAGGGACUUGACUGUUUUCCUCUUCUCCCAGAGAAGAAAUUCAUUGCUUUUCUGGACAUGUAAG
rnacentral:lncRNA from 1 species